UGGUAGUGAGGAUUAGCCAGCUUGGUGUGGAGGAUGAGCCGGAACUUGGGAUUGUAUUCACAUUCUUUGUCUCCAAUUUUAAUGAAUCUGGAACAUAAAGGCUCACGUGAAGGUGUCCUGAUGACAUAGAACAGGAUGAGUACUGAAACCACAAGGCUAAAAUGAAGGGAGGCAUGAGGGAUGUCAAGGCCCAAGCCACUGAAGCCUGGUGGGUGCUGGCCAGACAUUCUCAGUGCCAUUCAAGUCCCUUCACGUGGUAACUUUCCCACAGCUGAGGGUCAACCAUGAGUGGCCAGCGCUCACAGUUGAUGAGAAUGGUGGCAUUCUCCACGGACAUGCGGUCGGCUGGGAGGCCCUCGUUCUGCCAGGCAGCCACGUCAGCAUCAUCCAUCAGCAUCCUCAGGGGAUCCAGGGCC